rnacentral:rRNA from 1 species
UACGGAGGGAGCUAGCGUUGUUCGGAAUUACUGGGCGUAAAGCGCACGUAGGCGGCUUUCUAAGUCAGGGGUGAAAUCCCGGGGCUCAACCCCGGAACUGCCCUUGAAACUGGAUGGCUAGAAUCCUGAAGAGGCGAGUGGAAUUCCGAGUGUAGAGGUGAAAUUCGUAGAUAUUCGGAAGAACACCAGUGGCGAAGGCGACUCGCUGGACAGGUAUUGACGCUGAGGUGCGAAAGCGUGGGGAGCAAACAGG